rnacentral:snRNA from 1 species
AAUUAGACAAUCUGGUAUGAUAUAUGCCAUUCCACUGUCACCAACAUUAAGUCAGUUGGCCUGACUGUCCAGGUAGCUGCCUCUUUUCUCCUUAGCACUCAUUAUGUGUCCUUGCCGGAAAUGGACUCUCGGUGGAAGAGUUUGGCCUUCUCCGUGGAGUAGGAGUGAUCCUUGGUCACGGACUCAUGAGUAACUGUGCUCCUCUGCCAGAAACUCCAAACAAACCCCUCACAGUGGAUCGGGAACGUUCCAUCCCACCAGGCUACCCAACGGGACCAGCCUAUU